CCUAACAUUAUUUAUCGCCUGUGCUUUCAUUCAACAGCGAGCAAUGCUGUCGAUCAGACGCUAGCGCUUUACAAGACAUACAUAUGUACAUACAUAUAUGUAUAUGUUAAAAGUUAAUGUUCAUACACACUCAUGUUGUGAAUAUGAAGGUGCUUGGCCAACUCUUUGUGCGUAAUUAUAGUGCUGUCUGUGUACACGACGAAGUGGCCUCCAGUCAGCGCGCACCGAUGGUGACGACUGCACUUCGAUUGGGUUCGAGCCCUAACACAGAUCUUGCGCUGCCUUCUAAUCAGGUCACCUUUCAUAGC